ACCAAACACUCACAUAUUCACACCCUCAACUCUCUCUCACUCUCUCUCUAAAACCCUUGUAAACCUAAUCUUCUCACCACCACCAUUCUUGCCGUCGGUCACCACCACUCUUUAAAACAAACCACAACAUAACUCUAAAAAUGUCUGCUUACGGUUACGACGGAUAUGGAUCUGCUGGCGGUGCCUACGGUGGUGGAUAUGGAAGCAGUGGUGGCAGUUAUGAAGACAGUGGUGGUGGAGGCGGAUCUUACGGCGAAAACCGUGGUGGAGGCGAUGGUGGUGGAGGAUACGAAGGAGUGGUGGUGGGCAGCGGUAAUCUUACUUACUCGGAUUAUUUGUGAAUUUAUAUAAAUAAUUAAUGAGUAAAAUUACCAAUCUACCCUCAUGUGCAAGGCACAAGUCAUAUUUAACUGAAAAUUUUAACGUUGUUAGGGCCAAAGGACGUAUGGUGUAAUUGGUUUUCCAAAUAAAGGAUUGUAGCUGUAAUUAUUGAAGUUAAAGGGUAUCUAUUGUAAUUCGAUACAAACAUAAAGAACAAAAAAUGUAAUUUACCCUACAAAUGGUAUAAAGAAUAUUAGUUUUUUAAUAA